UACGAAGGGGGCUAGCGUUGCUCGGAAUCACUGGGCGUAAAGGGUGCGUAGGCGGGUCUUUAAGUCAGGGGUGAAAUCCUGGAGCUCAACUCCAGAACUGCUUUUGAUACUGAAGAUCUUGAGUUCGGGAGAGGUGAGUGGAACUGCGAGUGUAGAGGUGAAAUUCGUAGAUAUUCGCAAGAACACCAGUGGCGAAGGCGGCUCACUGGCCCGAUACUGACGCUGAGGCACGAAAGCGUGGGGAGCAAACAGG
rnacentral:rRNA from 1 species